UCAACAUUUUUUACUCUAUUUGAAAUGUUUUAACUUUUCAGCUUUGAAUCCCCCGCAACAUAAGGUGGACCCAGCACAAUAUUACGACCUUGUUACAUUCGAUAAAAUUGCGUAUACAAUUUUCUAAGAAGUUGAAAGGAAGAUAUUCAAUAUUUUCCAGAAAAUACGUAUUUUAUCGCAAAAAAUCUGGCAACAUUCGAAUGUUUUUACGUCGUUUUCCUCAGCAUGACAGUAUUACAAUUCCAUCCCACGUUGAUGGGAACCCCCAACCUAUGGGAAGGAAUCGAUUAUUAAGGUGUUUGCUGCGAACACCCUGUUUAUCGAUCCUUUUCCAUAGGUUUAAAUGGCAUAACAAUCGAUACAUCACAAUUCACGCCACUCCACUGGUCGAUAUGUUCAUCGUACUUACACAUAGAGUACAUAGAGUCGUAAUGUAAGUGGGAGAGCUGGCGCCACUUUUAAGCAUUUUCCAUGUCCCGAAUUCCGAGACUCCUGUGUGACGCUGGGUCACUUUUUCGAUACAUAUCGAUUGUUUGCGAUACACGGGUACCCGGCCAUCCGAUGACAACAACAACAACAAAGGAGAUAGGAAUUACCAUGUAUUCAACACCUCCAUUUUGGAUCGAAAAUGUAUCGAAAAAGCGACCCGAACUCGGCGCACACCGGGCUCGGAACUCGUCGAGCAGAACAUGGCGCCAGCCCUCCCAUUUACAUUACGACUCGGUGUACUCUAUGUACUUACAUUGUGCUCCAUGAACUUGUUUCCACUCGCAGGCGCGGGGAAUGUGUUGACGUACGCGGUGACGUCAGCUGGGCGGACGAUCACGGCGGCCGGACAAGCCAUCACGAACGUGGCCAUGUUCCCGAUAAACGUUGCCCGAGGCGCUUACAGCGACCUGCAGAUGAGGAUGAUGAAAAUGCAACUCCAGAUGGCUGCUUACAAGCAAGCUGUGGCCAACAGCUACAACUACACCUCACCCCAGUACGCCUACCAAUCGGCCAUGUUCGACCAGAUCGCAAUCGUCGACCUUACACCCUACGUCAAUUCGCUGAACGCAGACUUGAUGCCGUACGGGCAGAUGGUACGGAUCACCAGGACGAACGGGGUGCCGAGCUACAUCUUUCCGACUAUCCUCGACUCGAAUACUGCAAGCCACUCGCUUCCCAACGGCUUCAGCCUCCAGCAGAACCAAAUCGUCAACGCACAGGGCCAGGUUGUCGGGGGCGUCCUCAGUAUCAACCCUCCUACAACGGCAACAUCCUCAAUGAUGCUGCAGGUGAGUCACUUUUGUGA
rnacentral:lncRNA from 1 species